AGCAGUAUAUAUCCCCUUUAUUUUCAUAAUAUCCAUUCAUUGCAGACAUGCAGUUCGUAGUUUGUUUGUUUCGUUCAACUUUUCCUCAAAGGAUCUGAACGCGUUUGAUCUUUUCCAUAAAUAUAUGCAGCCUGACGUGGGUCACGUGACGUGACGUGAGUUUCUCUUUUUUCAUAUAGAAGAUCUCGUGAAAAGGUACGUUGCUAUUUAUUAAUUAUUUUUAUUUACAUUUCUACGGACCCGUGUAUAGGUUUCAUGCUGUGUUGUUGCGACUUUGAAGGACAUUUAAACAAACCGGAAGAAUGUUGUUCAGGAACAGACUGGAGAGUUCUCUAAAUUUACUUAGCGAUUUUUUUAUUCAAUAUUCUUUUACAUGUUAAAGUAUUCACACUACAAGUCUAAAUGCUGUGUACAAUGUCUGAUCUUUUCCAUCAUAUCUGUGGGCUGACGCGGGGUCAUGUGACGCGAGUUUCUUUUUUUUCCUGUGGAAAAAUCUCGUAAAAUAAGAUCGUCUGAGGUUUAAUAUUUAGGUUUAAUAACAUUUCUAGGGACCGAUGUACUCUGUCGUAACGUCCAUGCAAGCGUAUUUUUUCAACAUCAACUAGUUGAGUUUAGAAAUACACUGUAAA